GUGGCGAACGGGUGAGUAACACGUGAGCAAUCUGCCCUUGACUCUGGGAUAAGCGUUGGAAACGACGUCUAAUACCGGAUACGACCUUUGGAGGCAUCUCUGGGGGUGGAAAGAAUUUUGGUCAAGGAUGAGCUCGCGGCCUAUCAGCUAGUUGGUGAGGUAAUGGCUCACCAAGGCGACGACGGGUAGCCGGCCUGAGAGGGUGACCGGCCACACUGGGACUGAGACACGGCCCAGACUCCUACGGGAGGCAGCAGUGGGGAAUAUUGCACAAUGGGCGAAAGCCUGAUGCAGCAACGCCGCGUGAGGGACGACGGCCUUCGGGUUGUAAACCUCUUUUAGUAGGGAAGAAGCGUAAAAGUGACGGUACCUGCAGAAAAAGCACCGGCUAACUACGUGCCAGCAGCCGCGGUAAUACGUAGGGUGCAAGCGUUGUCCGGAAUUAUUGGGCGUAAAGAGCUCGUAGGCGGUUUGUCGCGUCUGCUGUGAAAACCCGAGGCUCAACCUCGGGCCUGCAGUGGGUACGGGCAGACUAGAGUGCGGUAGGGGAGAUUGGAAUUCCUGGUGUAGCGGUGGAAU
rnacentral:rRNA from 1 species